rnacentral:rRNA from 1 species
CUACGGGGUGCACCAGUGGGGAAUAUUGCACAAUGGAGGAAACUCUGAUGCAGCAACGCCGCGUGGAGGAUGACACUUUUCGGAGCAUAAACUCCUUUUAUAUAGGAAGAUAAUGACGGUACUAUAUGAAUAAGCACCGGCUAACUCCGUGCCAGCAGCCGCGGUAAUACGGAGGGUGCAAGCGUUACUCGGAAUCACUGGGCGUAAAGAGCGUGUAGGCGGGUUAAUAAGUCAGAAGUGAAAUCCUAUGGCUCAACCAUAGAACUGCUUUUGAAACUGUUAACCUAGAAUAUGGGAGAGGUAGAUGGAAUUUCUGGUGUAGGGGUAAAAUCCGUAGAGAUCAGAAGGAAUACCGAUUGCGAAGGCGAUCUACUGGAACAUUAUUGACGCUGAGACGCGAAAGCGUGGGGAGCAAACAGGAUUAGAUACCCGCGUAGUC